GUACCCAGUAGUGGGGGAUAACACAUCGAAAGAUGUGCUAAUACCGCAUACGACCUGAGGGUGAAAGGGGGGGAUCGCAAGACCUCUCGCUAUUGGAGCGGCCGAUGUCGGAUUAGCUAGUUGGUGGGGUAAAGGCCUACCAAGGCGACGAUCCGUAGCUGGUCUGAGAGGAUGAUCAGCCACACUGGGACUGAGACACGGCCCAGACUCCUACGGGAGGCAGCAGUGGGGAAUUUUGGACAAUGGGGGCAACCCUGAUCCAGCCAUUCCGCGUGAGUGAAGAAGGCCUUCGGGUUGUAAAGCUCUUUCGGCAGGAACGAAACGGUGGGUCCUAAUACGAUCUGCUAAUGACGGUACCUGAAGAAGAAGCACCGGCUAACUACGUGCCAGCAGCCGCGGUAAUACGUAGGGUGCGAGCGUUAAUCGGAAUUACUGGGCGUAAAGCGUGCGCAGGCGGUUUUGUAAGACAGAUGUGAAAUCCCCGGGCUUAACCUGGGAACUGCGUUUGUGACUGCAAGACUCGAGUGUGGCAGAGGGGGGUGGAAUUCCACGUGUAGCAGUGAAAUGCGUAGAGAUGUGGAGGAACACCGAUGGCGAAGGCAGCCCCCUGGGUCAACACUGACGCUCAUGCACGAAAGCGUGGGUAGCAAACAGGAUUAGAUACCCUGGUAGUCCACGCCCUAAACGAUGCCAACUAGGUGUUGGGGAAGGAGACUUCCUUAGUACCGUAGCUAACGCGUGAAGUUGGCCGCCUGGGGAGUACGGUCGCAAGAUUAAAACUCAAAGGAAUUGACGGGGA
rnacentral:rRNA from 1 species